rnacentral:tRNA from 1 species
AGCUCAGUGGUACAGCUCCCACUUCCUAUGCGGGAAGACCUGGGUUCGAUUCCCGG